GUGGGGAAUAUUGGACAAUGGGCGAAAGCCUGAUCCAGCCAUGCCGCGUGUGUGAAGAAGGUCUUCGGAUUGUAAAGCACUUUAAGUUGGGAGGAAGGGCAGUAAGUUAAUACCUUGCUGUUUUGACGUUACCGACAGAAUAAGCACCGGCUAACUACGUGCCAGCAGCCGCGGUAAUACGUAGGGUGCAAGCGUUAAUCGGAAUUACUGGGCGUAAAGCGCGCGUAGGUGGUUCAGCAAGUUGGAGGUGAAAUCCCCGGGCUCAACCUGGGAACUGCCUCCAAAACUACUGAGCUAGAGUACGGUAGAGGGUAGUGGAAUUUCCUGUGUAGCGGUGAAAUGCGUAGAUAUAGGAAGGAACACCAGUGGCGAAGGCGACUACCUGGACUGAUACUGACACUGAGGUGCGAAAGCGUGGGGAGCAAACAGGAUUAGAAACCCCGGUAGUCC
rnacentral:rRNA from 1 species